ACGCUCGACACCUACGGGGGGCAGCAGUGGGGAAUAUUGCACAAUGGAGGAAACUCUGAUGCAGCGACGCCGCGUGAGCGAAGAAGUAUUUCGGUAUGUAAAGCUCUAUCAGCAGGGAAGAAAAAGGACGGUACCUGACUAAGAAGCUCCGGCUAAAUACGUGCCAGCAGCCGCGGUAAUCUGAGCGGGCUGGCAAGGC
rnacentral:rRNA from 1 species